GCCAUCGUGGCGGAGAGGUUCGAGUGUUGGACUAUGACUCUGGAGACCAGGGUUCGAUUCCCAGUUCGGCCA